rnacentral:lncRNA from 1 species
UGGCUGUUUUAACACAGUUGCUCACAGGCAAGAUCAUCUUCAAAUAUUGUCCAUGCAGGCACUGAGCAGGAAUCAGUUACAAUGAAAACAGCAAAGUCAUCAAAAGACUUUCAUGGCUUCUGUCUCCUGAACAUGUCCAUGAAAUCUAUUCGAAUAUAAGAACUUCCUGAACACAUAAUCAAAUCCAGCAUCCUCUUCCUAACCAGCAGUAUUAGAGGUUCAUUAGGUGGAGGAUGUGGAUGGAUCAGACCUCAGGUCUGCUCCCGCUCUGGCAGCUGACAAUGCAUUUCCUUCUGCUGAGAGUCCCCGCAGACUCCCCAGGGUUGCCAGUACACAGAGAAGAGGGUUGCUAGAGGCACUUUCACACCUACUAAUGGAAGAGUCAUCAAAACUGGUCUCUGAGGGAAAUGAUUUCUCCUUGAAAGUGAAAAGAGUUAAAUCAUGGUGGGUGCUUCCUGACAUGAAAUUCAGCCCAUGAGAGGAGACUGCUGGAGGGAAGGGAGUU